rnacentral:rRNA from 1 species
UCCGGUAGCAAUAGUGACGGGGAAACACCUGUUCCCAUUCCGAACACAGCAGUUAAGCCCGUUAACGUCGAUGGUACUGCGGAGGAGACUUCGUGGGAGAGUAGAGCGCUGCCGGGU